UGAAAUCGGAUACUGGCGAUGCUCAAGAUCAAGAUAUCCGACAUACUAGCGGAAAGGUGUGUCGUUACGGAACCUGAAUCUCUUUGCCUCUUAUAAUAAUCUGUAUGUAUAACGAUGCUACAGCAACCUUCGUCGCAGCGUGAGGCUGAUGAGUUAUCGGAAGGCUUUAAACCGUUGGCAAGGAAUGAAAUCUUUAGCGCAGGCGAUCUGGUCGCGAUGGAUGCCGAGUUUGUGACGCUGAAACCGGGGGAAAGUGAAAUCCGUUCCGAUGGAAAGAUGUUGACGGUGAAACCCCGGGCAUCACGUGCAUCCGGGGACAGGGCGAGCAUGAGAUUGUCCCGUUCAUAGAUGAUUACAUCUCGACGCAGGAACGCAGGUGGUCGACUAUCUGACCAAGUUUUCCGGUAUCAAUAUACAGUCGAAGACGCACGAUUCCGUCGAGGAAUGCUUCUACAAGCAUUACCUACGGCUACAGGAAAAGGAUGAGUUUUCCAGGGCGCUCUCGACGUUGUACGAGAAGGGCAAGCCUGUUGGAAAUUCCGUAGCUGCGUGAGCCCCAGUACCCGGAGCGGUGGGCCGCUCGCUUUGAUCGAUCGCUCGAUCAAAGGAGAUGCGGCAGGAGCGGGUGCUGGGGGAACGCGGGCAUCCGCACGAUCACCCGAUCACGCGGGCGAGGGUGAUGCCCGACCGUCGACCGGACCGGACCAACUACGGUUAACUUGCAGGGACUCAACUUUACCAGUCUUCACGGUGCGAUGGCGUCCAUUCCGGGACUGCAAAACGUUCAGGUUCAAAUUGCCGGACUUCCACAGCCGAUUUCUCAGACUCUUUCGUCUACGCCGUCAGGAACGACAACCGGUCGACUAGCCUACUUAACCAGACGACUAGCCUACUUGUGUCCGUUCCAGUGACCAACACCACACAGGCUGCUGUGAACACCAUCAACGCCGGUGCUAAUAAUACCAUACUGUCUGGUAACUCGCAAACGACACAAACGGUCGUUUUGACGAAUCCACAAACAAGUGGCUCCAGUCUACUCACUCUACCUACUGGUAGGUUUUUGGCCUUUGAAGGAAUGCGCUUGGCAAACUCUUUCGUAUAUUCCAUCUUCGCUUUGACGAACCGGUGGACCACUAACGGUGAAUGCUGGUCAACCGGGUCAACAGAUACAGCUACUGAACAUCAGUCAACGGCCUAGGGCGGGCACACCGAUUUCCGGUUCACAUCACGGCGGCCAAUGUUACUUCAAACACCACACCGAAUCAGCUCCUCAUGGCUACGAAGCAGCUACAAUUGAAGAUUCAACAACAGCAACACCAUCAUCAGUUGCAAUAACAGCAGCAAAUU